rnacentral:rRNA from 1 species
AUUGAACGCUGGUGGCAGGCCUAACACAUGCAAGUCGAACGAGUGGCGGACGGGUGAGUAAUGUCUGGGAAACUGCCCGCUGGAGGGGGAUAACUACUGGAAACGGUAGCUAAUACCGCAUACCAUCGGAUGUGCCCAGAUGGGAUUAGCUGGUAGGUGGGGUAACGGCUCACCUAGGCGACGAUCCCUAGCUGUUCUGAGAGGAGGCCCAGCCACACGGGACCUGAGACACUGUCCAGACUCCUACGGGAGGCAGCAGUGGGGAAUAUUGCACAAUGGUCGCAAUCCUGAUGCAGCCAUGCCGCGUGUAUGAAGAAGGCCUUCGGGUUGUAAAGUACUUUCAGCGAGGAUGCGUUACUCGCAGAAGAAGCACCGGCUAACUCCGUGCCAGCAGCCGCGGUAAUAC